GAGAGGGCAACAACCCAGACCGCCAGCUAAGGUCCCCAAUACCAGUUAAGUGGGAAACGAUGUGGGAAGGCAUAGACAGCUAGGAGGUUGGCUUAGAAGCAGCCACCCUUUAAAGAAAGCGGAAUAGCUCACUAGUCGAGUCGUCCUGCGCGGAAGAUGUAACGGGGCUCAAGCCACGAGCCGAAGCUGCGGAUGCGUGCCUCUCGAGGCACGCGUGGUAGGGGAGCGUUCGGUAAGCCUGCGAAGGUGGCCCGAGAGGGCUGCUGGAGGUAUCCGAAGUGCGAAUGCUGACAUGAGUAGCGAUAAAACGGGUGAAAAGCCCGUUCGCCGAAAGCCCAAGGUUUCCGACGCAACGUUCAUCGGCGUCGGGUCAGUCGGCCCCUAAGGCGAGGCCGAAAGGCGUAGUCGAUGGGAAACGGGUCAACAUU
rnacentral:rRNA from 11 species